UACGUAGGCAGCGAGCGUUGUUCGGAGUUACUGGGCGUAAAGGGUGUGUAGGCGGUUCUCUAAGUUUGGUGUGAAAUCUCCCGGCUCAACCGGGAGGGUGCGCCGAAAACUGGAGGGCUAGAGUGCGGGAAGGGAGAGUAGAAUUCCUGGUGUAGCGGUGAAAUGCGUUGAUAUCAGGAGGAAUACCGGUGGUGCAGACGGCUCUCUGGACCGCGACUGACGCUGAGACACGAAAGCGUGGGUAGCAAACAGG
rnacentral:rRNA from 1 species